rnacentral:rRNA from 1 species
AUUGAACGCUGGCGGCAGGCCUAACACAUGCAAGUCGAGCGGAUGAAGGGAGCUUGCUCCUGGAUUCAGCGGCGGACGGGUGAGUAAUGCCUAGGAAUCUGCCUGGUAGUGGGGGAUAACGUCCGGAAACGGGCGCUAAUACCGCAUACGUCCUGAGGGAGAAAGUGGGGGAUCUUCGGACCUCACGCUAUCAGAUGAGCCUAGGCCGGAUUAGCUAGUUGGUGGGGUAAAGGCCUACCAAGGCGACGAUCCGUACUGGUCUGAGAGGAUGAUCAGUCACACUGGAACUGAGACACGGUCCAGACUCCUACGGGAGGCAGCAGUGGGGAAUAUUGGACAAUGGGCGAAAGCCUGAUCCAGCCAUGCCGCGUGUGUGAAGAAGGUCUUCGGAUUGUAAAGCACUUUAAGUUGGGAGGAAGGGCAGUAAGUUAAUACCUUGCUGUUUUGACGUUACCAACAGAAUAAGCACCGGCUAACUUCGUG